GGACCCGCACAAGCGGUGGAUCAUGUUCUUUAAUUCGAGGGUAAACGAUAAACCUUACCAGGGCUUGACAUCUAGGGAAGGACUACGAAAGUAGACUGUGCCUUUUGGAACCCUAUGACAGGUGAUGCAUGGCCGUCGUCAGCUCGUGUCGUGAGAUGUUUGGUUAAGUCCAUCAACGAGCGCAACCCUUGCAAGUAGUUGUAUUUUUCUACUUGGACUGCCCCGGUAACGGGGAGGAAGGAGGGGAUGAUGUCAGGUCAGUAUUUCCCUUACGUCCUGGGCUAGAAACGUGAUACAAUGGCAAGUACAAUGCGCGGCGAAGCCGCGAGGUGAAGCAAAUCGCAUCAAAACUUGUCCCAGUUCGGAUUGGAGGCUGAAACUCGCCUCCAUGAAGUCGGAAUCGCUAGUAAUCGCAGAUCAGCAUGUUG
rnacentral:rRNA from 1 species